rfam:Canis lupus familiaris chromosome 23, whole genome shotgun sequence.
AGGAGGAACAACCCCGGUGGCGGGGCCAGCUCUGGAGCCCUGGAUUCAGCUCCGGCAGGAACUCCGGAGCUCUCCGUCUGCAGGGCCUGGAAGCUCCGGGCGGGG